rnacentral:lncRNA from 1 species
CAUCCUCUCUUUUGAGUAAUUGAUAUCAUUGUUGCUUUGUUUUUUGGGGAUUUAGUUAUAAAGUGAAAUUGUUUGCAUGAGAAAGUAAAAUCGAGUAUUUAUUUAAUAGUUAGUAAGAUUCCAUUGAUACAAUUUUAAUGGAGUUGUAGUUGGCUAGUAUUUUGCAGGUUUUGAAUUAGAUUAUUAAUUUUGUAAAGCAAAUAGAACUAAGGGUUAUUGUAGAUGUUGUGAUGAUUCUGCAUUUGUGUUGUUCUUGCAUGAGAUGCCAUUGUGUAUUGUCUAGAUGUAUUCAGUUAUAAGCUACUUGUUUAAUUAUGUUGAUAGACUAGCUAGCUUUUUAAACGUAGAAUUUGCUUUAAUAUACAAACUCAAUUUUAUGAAAUUGUUCAUCCAGUGUUAAUUGCUUCCACAUAACUUUUUUCACAACUUAAAGAUGUAAUGUAUUUUAUUAGCUAACCUUCAGUAAGCUGUCAAUCUCGUUGAACACAGCAGGUGCCUUAGCUUCAUUUCAGUACUGAAAUGCUCUUUAGAGAGAAUGGUAAUUUCCUUAAUGCUAUGGUGGUCUCUCAGCUAUUUUUGUAGUUUUUCCUGAUUGCAAAAAACCAACUGUGUUGUUACUUAUACAGGCUCUAAAGAAAUAUAUUUCAUGUCUCCAAAUGCAUUUAAACAUUAUAAUAAUGUUGAGGAAAGGGUCUGUAAUGGUCAUUACCUUUUCAUUUUUUAUUAUAAAGAGGGCAACAACAAAGAAUUGACUGCAUACAGUACAGCCAACAUCAAUUCAUGAUUUAAGGUAAUAACUUAGUGGGUUUCAUUUACUUAAUGAAUGUUUUGUGCACACUAUAUUGUUUAUACAAACCAUGAAAAAAAAAAUAUAUAUAUUACAUUUGUAAAUUACAUAUGUUUAAAUUACAUUGUACUUCUGUUAUAUUUUUCUAUUUAGUAAAUCUUUAUCUCUUGCAGUUUCCUAGAAUAGUGAGCACAACAUUUUAAACAUAUUGAAGUUACAAAUUUGUAUCAGUUUGGUAGACCUGGAAUCCAGAAGGCAUACGUGUAUUACUAAGUUACGUCUUUUUUACUUUACAACGUCGUGAUAUGGCACUGCUGUUUUAUUUCUAAUUGUUUUAACUGAAUUAACCUGAGCCCUUCUGUCAUCCGGUGGUAUCAGACAAUUGUAAGUAGCUGAAUGUGGGAAUCCGUGACUAAUGAAGUUGAACACACUGUAAUUGGUGACACGACAGUCCAACAAAUUUUUCUUCUCCUUGGCACAGAUAGUGUGUGCUAAUGGUAACACACAUCUUCUGUCAGCACCUUCAGUUUCGUCACCUCAUCUCUGAUUACACAUGGUGUUGCAUAAAUGUAAUUAAGAAAGUGUUCACAAACUCGGAUUUUGAGGGUAAUACAGAUACUCUAUAGUUUCAAACAUUUUUGUCAAUUUAAAAAGCUUUGGAUAAUAAUUAUCAUAUUAAUGUUGUCUCCUUGGAAUUGGGUGUAUUCAAUUUACUUAUACAUUUGCACAGAGCUUUGACAAUCAUAAACAUUUUUUUUAAGCUAUUCAUGAUCAAUAGUGGUAUUUUAUUGAACGUUUGGCAGAAACUGAUUGUCAGCCACAAUAGUUUCAGGGAUAGUUCCAGAAGUCAAAUAAAUUUUUAUAGUACCUUUUCUCCUUUGGUACUCUUUAAACGUUAGUUAGUCAUUCAAAUAACAGUACUUUAGGGUUAAAGAACAAAAUAAAUACACUAAAAAGCUAUAUUUCACAAUUUUCAGUAUAAUUUAUCAUGGUUUUAUGUAAUAAACUUAUAAAGUGUGCCUUGUGAACAAAUAUGAUAUUUUAGAUGUAUUCCACCAAAACUAACUGCUGACAAUCUAUUCUUUUGUGUGCUGAGAUCUCACGUCUCGAUUUUGAAACAGAAACUUCUACAUUGAGAUAAUUGUGUGUCUUUAUUCAUCCUAAUCCUAAGGAUGUGUAGUAUAUCCGAAUGUACUAUCUAGUUGGUUUUAGCUGAGUUUAGUGCCUACUUUUUUUACGUUCACAAGAUUGGUCUGUUUGUUAGAGCGCUCCAUCGCACCGUGACAAUAAUAAAAUAGACUUCGUGUAAAGACACAUCCUAUCACUCCUACUGCUUGGAGCGAACUGAAAUCGGACAUGUUUGGAGGAGCAGAACCCCCAUCAUAAUAUCCGACCAAUACGACCUGGACCAUGCUGGAAUGGAUGGUCGUGUCACAAUAAAAUCCUGCUCAUUACUUUCAUAAUGCACACUGUAUGUUCAUAGUUUUGAAUAUCUUUAAGGAACCUAUGUGAUGGAAUAUUUUUUAUCUCAAAUAUAAUUAUCAAAGCAUGUAUGAUUCCGGAACAAAAUCAGCCAAGAAUUAUAUAGGCGAAAACCUGUUGGAAUAAUGGAACAACUGGAACUGUUUCAUAGAUUGAACAUUCCGGUUGGCACCAUGUCCAGUUCUGGAAGGUGUAGCUUAUCUCUACUGUAAGGAAACUGAAGGGUCAAUGGUGUCAAUUAAAAGCUGCAAUCAUGGCUCACUCUGAGACUGAUUGGGUUCAUGCUUUGUCUCUUGUUUAUCUCAGCAUUCUAACUGCUUUCAAAGGUGACAUCAAAGCUAGUGCAGCUGAAUUUUAUUAUAAAAAACUUUUUUAUUUUUAUCGGUGAACUCUUCUCUUUGAAUCUCAAUAAUCACUAUCUUGAUGAUUCAGGCAGCUUUCUUUCAAGUUUACGAGAGUCCUUGUUUCGUUUACAACCUUCCCAGCGUCAAGACAUUACCAACUUGUUGUUUUAAUUUUUUUUAAACUGGCAAAUUGCAGUCAUGCUUUUCUGAGAGAUGGAUCAAUGUUUAAAGCAUUACAACCACUAUAUACUGGAACUCACGAAAUUCUUGAUCAAGACAGCAAAACUGUAACUCUCAAAUUUGUAAUAAGCCUGCCAAAGUUUCUAUCGAUUGUGUGAAACCAGCUUUUAUUCUACAAGAAGUACCUGCAUCUGUUCCUGCUGCCUCGCCUUUUCCUACUACUACUCCUUUACCUACAUCUACUUCACCUCUUGUUCAAGAACAUUCAACCCACUCUGGAAGAAAAGUUCGUUUCAGGGAUGUUUUGGACCUGUAGCCAAAGUCACAGCCCAGGGGGGUAGUUUGGAUUGCGAUAGUUUCACAUGGUUCGGUGCCUAGCAAUGAGGAUUGUCAUUACAGUGGAACUUGGAUAAUUCGAAUCUCAAGGGACCAAUAAAAAAAUUCAAAUUAUCCAAAAAUUCAAAUUAAAAAAGUUAAGAAUUUAAGACUUAAAAUAAUGACACUUCACAUCUUUGCUGAAAACCUUCAUUGAAAAUAACAUGAAUGGUUGUAAAUGUAUGUUUUUCUGUACAUUUCUACCAAGCGAAGUAUGGUAAAACAGUGCAAAAUUGAAUCAUGAAUUAUCUAAAAAAAUACACAAUUACAGUUUAUGUUUAUGAAUAAAAGAAAAUAAGUUGAAUGGUCAUAAGGAACAUUAUACAGUACAAUAUUAUUUAAUUUUUUCGAAAGAAGUCGGAAAUCUUCACUUGUUUUCUAAAGUUAAGUCUUUCAAAAGUGACAAAAGAUUUUGCCAUAUUCAAUUAAUUGAAAAUAGACUCACUUACGUCAUUUUUACUUUCAAAAAUACGUCUAAGUUCCAUGAUGUGAUGUGCUGCUUCGGCCGCACUCGGAAUGUUUAUUUCCGCCCCAACUGAUGACUCACCGUCUUCGUCACCCGAUGCUAUGUCGCCAUCUUGUUUAUUGUUGAGCACUUCAGCGAUGAUCUCCGCGUCUGUUAUCUCACCACAUACUGCAACAUAUUCAUCCACGUUGACAAAAUCUUCAAACGAGAUGGCAGGGUCAGUAAUGACGUCCUCCCAGCCGUCAACUGAAGGUACCGCUUCCGCUAUAAUGUCGUUGGCUUUUUCGACGUCGUCCUCCUUUUUUACAAAACCAGCUUUUUUAAAGCAGUGUUUGAUCUUUUCGGGCGUUACUUUGUCCCAAGCUUUCUUGCACAUGCGAGAGGCUUGAAGAAUGUCUAACUUGAUUUUUAGGGUGUCGCAAUCUUCAGUCAGUAUGUACUCAACCAAUAAACGUCUGUAAAACUGUUUUAGAAUUUUUAUGAUCCCCUGGUCCAUAGGCUGGACAACCGAAGUCACGUCUACAAAACAAUAGGCGAGGAAGCAUAGGGCCGAGCCGGCCGGCCGGGCGGGAGGGUGGCUAGAUCUGUGUCCAAUGGCCUUGCGAUUAGAAAGAGUGCAGCGUCUUUUCGCGGGUUCGAAUAAAAAGUUUGAAUUAUCCAAAAUAAACUUCGAAUUAACCACGAUAUUUUUGUAUUACUUAUAUAGAAAAUGCUAGGGACCAAUAUAAAUAUUCUAAUUAAAGAAGAUUUCGAAUUAUAGAAGUUUGAAUUAGCCAGGUUCCACUGUAUUACUAUUUUUACUCAAUACGUCUUGUUAACCUGUGUACACAAGUUUUAUUAUUUACUAGUUGUCAACCCAACCUUUUUCUAUAAAGUGAUCUCCGGGCAUGAUAGAUAAUGGGUUGACUUGUAUUCAGUGGUUUAUUAUAAACAAUCAUAUCAGUCAUAUCAGUGAAAAACGUUUACUAACAAUAUAAAGGUUCAAGCAGUUGAGUUUGGCGCUGCUGUUGAUCAUAUAUGAAUAGGACUGUCACAGCAGUUUGUUGACACAAUAGAAACAAAAUUGAAGUUUUGCAUACAAGUCAAGAUACAUUAUCACAUUAGCUAAGAAUAAAACUUUCUAAAGUAAACAUUAAAAUUACAACUUAUAUUAUGUGCUUAUCAUCCAAAUUAUUACAUUUUCUUUGAAAGGAUAGAUGGUAGUCGCCCUGCUGCUUAUCUUCAGGAUUGCUCAAGAACCUCAUUCAAGAUAUCCUAAGCCCUCCUGACCAAGUGGCUCCUUGGUUGUCAUUUGAAGGAUGAAAUAGUUUUUAGUGAUUUGAUUUCUUUCAGUUGUAUCCAUGUUUCAAAAGUUAUUUUCAUUUUUUUAAACAUCACUGUUCACUGUUUUAUACAUAAAUAAUGGCAUUUUGGGUUAUUGGCAGUCUACAGAACACUUCAAUUAGCAGGAGCAGUGGUAGGGAAAUUGAUGAAGGUUGAGGUUUAUUCCGAUUUUUACACUUUCUUUCUAUUUAUUUUUCUUUCGAUUGAAGUUUUUUUUUAUUGUUAAUAACAGUGUAAUGUUUCCACUGUUCUGUGUCUUGGCCUGUUUGACAGAGUACUGUUGUAUUGCAGGAUGAUCCAGGUUUUCAGUAUUUCUACCCAACUGAUCCUGAACCUCAAGACUUAUUUGAACUCCUACCAAUAGAAUUAACCUCCGAAUCCUUUUUGGAUGAUCCAGGUUUUCCAUGUUGGUACACUGGUCCCAUCCCACAAGACUUAUCCCUGUAUGAACUCCUAGCAAUAGAAUUAACCUCCAAAUUCUUUUUGAAAGAGAUUGAAAGAAUGUGGCCUGCUAUCUUUGUUCCUGGAUACCCUUAUGAACGUACAUUUGAUUUGAAGCUCUCGAUCUCAGGAGUCUGUUGUGUGGUUUGUUUCCACUUUUUCUUUCCCUUCACUGUCUUCUUUUAAAAAUGUAUUCUUCCCUUAUGCUGUUUCUAAAUGUCUUUCUUUUUGCUUGAAGUUGUCUCUAAAUGUCUUGUUUUUGUUUGAUGUUUCAGGAUUUGUUGGACUGCAGCUCUAUUAUUGCCGAGAUUUUUAUUUUUAAAGUAUAGGCUGUAGGUGUUCAAUAUGAUGAACAAUAUUGCAAAAUUGUGUGAUCAUAAAUUGAAAGUAUUCUUAAAGUCUACACUUUAUCUUUGUAAUAUAACUAUAUUAUUUGAACAGAGAAUAUGUAUAAUUGAUAUGGAGCUGUAACUUGCUUCUUAAAUUGCUACAGAUUAAAAUAUCAAUGUUCUCUCUAAGUUCUAGUCUGUGAUCAGUUAAUAUUUCAGGGUCCAAAACAACUUUUUGAUAUUAAGUUGUAGUGAGGUCCAGUACAACUUAACUGAAAUAGAUAUAUCAUUUUCUUCCUCAGAAAGUGUCCAUUUCCAUUGAAAUUUUGGAAUUCUUAUAAAAGUAAAGAGAAAAGCAAAGGUUAGCUCCUCUCUGAAAAAAUUGGCUACAACAGACACUAUAAAUUUCAAGGAUGAGCUUUAUCCCAGACAUGAAAUACAGUAUAGUGUUUCAGAAAUCUGCUAGGAGCGUUUGGGAAUACUGGUUGAGUGUAGGAGGGGCUGCAGAAGAAACCGGAACUUACUUAGUUCUACCGUAGUUCACCAAACCAGAUUAGUGACUGUAUACACUGGAACCUAACACAAUGUGACAAUUUACAAAGUAGAGAGGAAAUUGACCUUGUGAACCAUUAGAAUCUUGAACAACAUAACCUCAUAUUAUCCUUACAACCCAACAACAAACGGUUUCUUCUAAUACAGAUCAACCGUCUCUGCUCUUUUAAGUAUUAGUGAAUUUAUAUUUGAGCCGUAUUAAUUUUUGUGUCAACUCACAAAAUAAGGUUGUUACAAACAGUUAAUUUAUGUGUAGAUUCAAUGUGAAUGUUUUAUUUAUAUUACACCAUAUUAAGAUAUACUUACAAAGACACACUAAUCAAGAAUCGUGUUGGUAGCCGUGAACUAGCUGGGGCCAUACAGUAGUGCUAUGCAUUACUCACACAACACGCUUUUGACACCUAAUGGAUGUGAUUAGAACUGCAACAAUUUUUUUAUCUGCCAAUGGAUGGUGACGGAGUAGUCACAAACAAGAGUACAUUGCAACAUGUUUUUCACACUGCUUGAAGAUAAAUACAAAACACAACAGUGAUGUCACUGCGGUUGGCUUGUACACUGUGACAUGAAUGUUAUCAAUGUCUCAUUAAUCUGGUUUGAAUUUUAAAACACAUAAUAAUAAUACAGUAUAAGCCGGUUAUAGCGUCGCCCGCUUAUUACAUUUAUCCAUGUUUAAGGUACGGUGUUGGCUGCAUUUCGACUGCUUAUAACGUUUUCAGUUGUAUUGAGAGAGCAUCCAGUUCAGUGAGAGAAACGCCACUUUUGACAUGACGUACCGUCGCGCCGCCAGGAUCUCGCCGCCAAAGGGUUGCAAUCGGAGAAGGAGCGUGGGGGAGCGGGGCAAGAUGUCUCUUAAUUCAAGGUGGCAAGAUGUCUGCAGCAUGCUCGGCGAUGACGGUGAGACUCCAUCUUUCGACGCCUUCGUCAGGAAUGACGAUAAUCUGGAUGUGUGCGAGGAGCUGAGUCUAGACGAUAUAGCCGCCGCACACCAGCCUGCUGCCGACGGCAUGGAAGUGGAGAAUACCGAGAGCGACGAUGACGCCGACAGCGAGGAUGCUCCCUUCCAGUAACUUCAGAGGAGAGCCUGGCAAGCCUGAGCACCGUUACCCAUGUUUUCCGAACUUUCGUGUAUAACGUUUCCCGCUUAUAACGUCGGCGAUGUGGGGACGGCACUAUAACCGGAUUAUACUAACAAAAAUAUGUCAACAAGACUCUUCUAUGCUGUUAGUAAUCAUUCUGUGCAUGGUACGGUUGUUAUAAAUGUAAAUAUCUUUAUUCUUUUACAUUUUAGUGAAAGAAUUGGUUGGAAAUUUCCACUCACAAGAGUUUAACAUGGAACUGCUGGAAAACUAAUUCCUGUAAAAAAUUGAAAAUAUUUUAAAUGUUCAGAAAAAUGUAUACAAUGACAAUACCGAACAGGUUUUGUUUAGAACAGAAGAUAGCUGCAUUCCUUUGAUGCAACUUUUUUGAGGAUACAUAACUCAUUCUAAGUAAGUUGGAACAAGUUCAUGUCCGGUACCAUGGUGAAUCGUCAAGAGAAGAGACGUGUGGAACAAUGAAGAGAAGUGUGGCUAAUUAGAAUUUAGUAACAAAAACAAGGGGCAUUUUGUGAGAUUCUAAGAUUUUUACUUCAAUAUGAGUUGAUGUUUAUUAAUGAAUUUGAUAUUCCCGUGGUAGUAUAUUCACACUAUAGUGCUCCGUGAUAAUAUUACAGUUUUAUCCUAUCGUGGUGUGGAGUACUAGUGUCUAGUAAAGUGAUUCUAGUGAUGAAGCGAUGUAGAUGCUACUUGAAACUGGUAAGAUGGGUUACGUGUGUUUUCCUAAUGCCAUUUGACUGGUAAGGUGUUUGUGUUAUUUGUGCUCUUACAUCUCCAAAAGUGCCUUGAGACUCAUGAAAUUAUAUUGGAAAAAUAUAUUAAUUUGCUGUGGUACAAAUGGCAAAAAAUGGAUAUGAAUGUUUUAUACUGUAUAAGAAGUGGUACGGUACCGUAUAUGAUAAAUAUUUCUAUUAGUGUAUUGUGUAUUAACUUGGCCUACUCUCUGAUUGCCAAGGAUACUUUAAUUUUAAGGGUUUAAGUUUCAUUAAUUGCAAUGUUCAUUUCGCAAUCUUCAAGAACAUGAGAAACUGCUUUAGUUUUUGGAGAAAACGCCUAUGACUAUUGCAGGCAAAGUUUUGAGGUCAGCUACAUACUUAAUAUGCCAAUGUUUUCUUUGUUUAUUUUUGAUUUUUGUCAAAUAAGAUAAAUAUAGUCAUUUACAAUGGUUCUUGUAAUAUUAUAUUAUUUUUUAUUUCUACAUUUAAAAAAGUAUAAAACAUAACAGUUGUACUUGUAUAAAUACUUGUUUCAGGUAAGAAUAGAUAAGUCAAAAAUUGUUUCUUUUCUGCAAUGGUAAAAUACAUAUAAUGAGAAUUAUUUAAGCAUAUUAUUAUUUAUGUUAACACCAUGGGCAUCAAGCGUUCUUUUCUCUGUCAAUCUUUUUCCUUCCAAAGUGGCAUCAGCCAUGAAACAUUAAAUCUGUACUAAUGAGUGUAAAUGAAUUUAACAUCAUUGAUACCAGUCAUAAAUGUUUUAACACGUUGAAGCCCAGCCCUGUUCGGGGCACCCGAAGUCUCAAACUUGGUUUUUAUACAUAACCUAGCUAUGGUUGGAAGGGUUGAUUCAAUUUUAAUGUUCAAUUUAGCUCCAGUUCACCUUCCUUCAGUUAUCAAACAUACACAAGCAUUGUCAACAAAACGAAUGAUAUUAACAACAUUCCUAUGAAAACUUAUAGGAGUGAUUUUGUUGAGUCUGAUGUUGAAGUUAGGCCAAUUUCCAGUUUUUCAAGAACUUUUUACAUUUAAUUUUAUAAUAUUUUCAUGUCACAAACUGCAUUGUAAAUCUGAUACAUCAAGAUGUUUCAGUAAAAAUAUAGUAAAAUACUUUUAUGAAAAUUCUCAAGGCAACCACAAAUAGUUGAAAAAAUUAGACUUGCUCACAUCUUGAAAACAUUAAACUAUGUGAACUUUUCAACUAACUGUUUAUUGUUGUUUGUAACAGAAUGUUAUAUGAUUUGACUAAUAUGGAAUAACUGUGAAGUUAGUACUUCAGUUAAGUGUGGAUACUCUUUGUUCGACACUAGGUGGCAAUUUAGUUGGCCAUAGAAAAAUUAUAUUUUUUCUAGCUUGACAUUUUUUGUUGUAUUUUCUCUUGUUCUUUGUAAAAAUAUACACAUCACUUUAAAGUUAUGAAUGUUUUAUUAAAUUUUCAAUGUGGAUCUAAACAAUUUUAUUGUUAUAAAACCAUCUGCAUUUCAAAAUUUCUAAUUGAUGCUCCUAAGGUUAGUCAUAUUGAAUAUGUGUGUAUAUAGAAUGGAAUUGUUGCUUGACAAUGUUAACUAAUAUUAUAUUAUAAGAAUACAUUUUUAAACUAAUUAGUUAGCUUUAGCAGAAAACACAAUAAAGCAGAUUUAACAAAUAGAUAAGUUGAGCUGAUUGGGUAUGUCUUGUU